rnacentral:rRNA from 1 species
UACGUAGGGUGCGAGCGUUGUCCGGAAUUAUUGGGCGUAAAGAGCUCGUAGGCGGUCUGUCGCGUCGGUCGUGAAAACUUGGGGCUUAACCCUGAGCUUGCGGUCGAUACGGGCAUGACUGGAGUUCGGCAGGGGAGACUGGAAUUCCUGGUGUAGCGGUGAAAUGCGCAGAUAUCGGGAGGAACACCAAUGGCGAAGGCAGCUCGCUGGGACGGUACUGACGCUGAGACGCGAAAGCGUGGGGAGCAAACAGG